AGCGAACGCUGGCGGCAGGCUUAACACAUGCAAGUCGAACGCCCCGCAAGGGGAGUGGCAGACGGGUGAGUAACACGUGGGAACGUACCCUUUGGUUCGGAAUAACUUGGGGAAACUCAAGCUAAUACCGGAUAAGCCCUUAUGGGGAAAGGUUUACUGCCGAGGGAUCGGCCCGCGUCUAAUUAGCUAGUUGGUGAGGUAAUGGCUCACCAAGGCGACGAUCAGUAGCUGGUCUGAGAGGAUGAUCAGCCACACUGGGACUGAGACACGGCCCAGACUCCUACGGGAGGCAGCAGUGGGGAAUAUUGGACAAUGGGUGCGAGCCUGAUCCAGCCAUGCCGCGUGCAGGAAGACGGCCUUCUGGGUUGUAAACUGCUUUUGCCAGGGGAUAAAACGGCUCUGCGGAGCUAAUUGAAGGUACCUGGUGAAUAAGCCACGGCUAACUACGUGC
rnacentral:rRNA from 1 species